GCGACCAUAGAGGAUGUGGCAAUAUACACGCAUAUAUGUGUUGUCGACGGAGACCCUUGGCUUCCAUGGCUAUUCGAGGAAAUCAUCGACGUCUACCCCAAAAUUUACGGAGAUGACAUCGACAUGUGGUCGAUACGGGGCUCCGACGGUGCAAUCCAGAACCGAAUGCGUGAAGCUGUAGACACAGCCACCAAUCAGCAGUUUCUUUGGGAUGGUUAAACCUCUCUGGCCACUUAAAUCUGAUAACGGCGAAUGAAAGCACCAGCACGCCCUCACUGCCGCUGCACCGUCAGGCCGUCCGUAAAAGUAAGACCCCCCCAGGAGCUCGCCGGCUUCGACUCACAAACGUGGGAGAAGGCACAUUCGACAUCUGGCCCUCAGAAGGAAAUUACAGCCUAUGCGAAAAAGCCUCUGCUGGAAAGGGGCAAGGAUCCUUGCGAGUGGUGGCAGUCCAUUGGCCGCGUCAAGCAGCCGCUUUUAAGUGUACUCGCCCAGAAGUACUUGGCCAUCCCUGCCACCUUCCUCGUGAAAGAGGCUUUUCUAGCGGUGGAAAUGUUGUCACACUGCAUAGAGGGCGCUUACUUUUUGAACAUGUUAAGCAGUUAAUUUUCCUGUACAAAAACCUGUAAGAAGGACGUUAGCUGACUGAGAGCAUUAGCUGACAUUACCUGACAUUACCUGAGUGCAUUACCUAUAAUGAGUGCCUCUUUAACCUG